CGUGAAACCGUUUAGGGGUAAACCUGAGAAACCCGAAAGGUCGAAGGAAGAAAUUCAUUCGCGGCUCGACGCAGGCAACGAGCGGUCGAGCGACGCGAGACGUUCUCGUCUCGCGCGCCUUCCGUCCUGUAGAUCCGGCGUCGAACGCGUGCACUUUUCUUCUGGUAGGACGUCGCGAUCCGUUGAGUGUCAGUCUACGGCGCGCGGUGGAGCCCGCUCGGAAGCUUCGCGCUUCCGGGCGAACCCGCGCGUUUUUCCGGCUGACUCGCUCGACGGUAGACAGAAUGGUCAGGGGCCGCUCAUCUUACGGAGCGUUCGACUCUCGGCAAGCGCGUCAGACGUGUCGGCGAUCGGACCCGGUGCCGAUUCCGACCGCUGGCGACUGUUGGCCGUUGAUGUUCUCGAACAGACCUCUCGUACAAGACCGAUCUGCGACGCUAUAGCUUUGGGUACUUUCAGGACCCGUCUUGAAACACGGACCAAGGAGUCUAGCAUGUGCGCGAGUCAUUGGGAAUCACUAAACCUAAAGGCGCAAUGAAAGUGAAGGUCUUCCUAGCGAAGACCGAGGGAAGACGAGCGGUUCGCCCUUAAAGCGGGCCGUUCCGCAUUCCCGGGGCGUCUCGUUCUCAUCGCGAGAAGAGGCGCACCAAGAGCGUACACGCUGGGACCCGAAAGAUGGUGAACUAUGCCUGGUCA
rnacentral:rRNA from 1 species